GACAGAGGAUGCAAGCGUUGUCCGGAAUUAUUGGGCGUAAAGAGCUCGUAGGCGGUCUGUCGCGUCGGCUGUGAAAACCCGGGGCUCAACCCCGGGCCUGCAGUCGAUACGGGCAGACUAGAGUGCGGUAGGGGAGACUGGAAUUCCUGGUGUAGCGGUGAAAUGCGCAGAUAUCAGGAGGAACACCGGUGGCGAAGGCGGGUCUCUGGGCCGAUACUGACGCUGAGGAGCGAAAGCGUGGGGAGCGAACAGG
rnacentral:rRNA from 1 species